UACCAGUUUGAUUACAGGUGUAUUGA
rnacentral:piRNA from 1 species